rnacentral:rRNA from 1 species
GGUAGAAUUCCAGGUGUAGCGGUGAAAUGCGUAGAGAUCUGGAGGAAUACCGGUGGCGAAGGCGGCCCCCUGGACGAAGACUGACGCUCAGGUGCGAAAGCGUGGGGAGCAAACAGGAUUAGAUACCCUGGUAGUCCACGCCGUAAACGAUGUCGACUUGGAGGUUGUGCCCUUGAGGCGUGGCUUCCGGAGCUAACGCGUUAAGUCGACCGCCUGGGGAGUACGGCCGCAAGGUUAAAACUCAAAUGAAUUGACGGGGGCCCGCACAAGCGGUGGAGCAUGUGGUUUAAUUCGAUGCAACGCGAAGAACCUUACCUGGUCUUGACAUCCACGGAAGUUUUCAGAGAUGAGAAUG